rnacentral:rRNA from 1 species
AGCUCCAAUAGCGUAUAUUUAAGUUGUUGCAGUUAAAAAGCUCGUAGUCGGACCUCGGGCGGGCGGGCGCGGUCCGCCUCUGGUGAGCACUGCGCUCCGCCCGUCUUCCUGCCGGGGACAGGCUCCUGGGUUUCACUGCUCGGGACCUGGAGUCGGCACCGUUACUUUGAGGAAAUUAGAGUGUUCAAAGCAGGCUUACGCUGUGAAUACAUUAGCAUGGAAUAACACGAUAGGACUCCGGCCCAUACUGUUGGUCUGUGGGAUUGGAGUAAUGAUUAAGACGGACGGUCGGGGGCAUUCGUAUUUCGUUGUCAGAGGUGAAAUUCUUGGAUUUACGAAAGACGAACAUCUGCGAAAGCAUUUGCCAAGGACGCGCCGA